AGUAGUGACUCCAGAGGAGCUGGCCGUCUGCAGAGGCUGGAAUGUCUUGACUACAGCUGCUGACCUGUUGCUGUACACUGCCGGUCCCCCGUGAUGUCAGCCCCAGGUGGUCUUGCUUCUUCUCCAGCUCCUGAAGAAGGUGUCAGUCUCUGAGCAGCCUGAGGAGACCAAACCCCAGGGAUGUUAACUUCCUUGUAUAAAACGAUGGAUCCACAAUGAGCCAUGUAAUUUCCCUCGUGCAUUUUCUGAGCCAGUGGUGGAUCAGAGAGCUAGAAGAGGCUUCAGAAGAUGCAUGAGUGGCGUCUCUUUCUUCCAACAGGGCUGCCUCUCUUAGCAAGGGGCAACUUCAGAUGGAAGGCUGCCUCCUGGCUGAAAGUGGGGAAAAGAGAAAUAAUCCGAAUACUUGGAAUUCCAAAAGUUGUGCUGUGCCAGGUGAUUCUAAAUUCUGUCAAGUUGGCAGGAUCAACCUUUGCGCCAUCUCUCCCUGUCACUCAUUUGCUGAGCACAAGCCUGCUUUGACUUUACCGUGGAUCCAAAUUUCCAAGCAAGAAGAGGAAGAGAACUUUAUAAGAAUGGUGAUGGAUUCUCAUGACUCAACAGGAGGCUGAACUGAGGGGUUUGGAUCCAUGUCUGUUUUCUUUCUGCCUUCAAAUGCUAGCAGCUAACAUACUGGCUUCCCUUCCUGCUGGGACACAGCCCCUGAAGUACCUUGCUGUGUUCAGAGCUUGGGCGUCUGGCUUCAAGAAACUGUCUACUGGUUAAAAGACCUAUAGCCAAAUGACUCUGGGCUAUGCUGUCACUGUCUCCCCUCUGGCAGUCUCAGGGCUCCUUGAUGAGGGGAGGAGCCAGAACCCCAUGCUGUUUUCCUUCCCUGGGGACACACUGAGCUCUGCCUCACUGAGCUCUGCCUCCUGCUCCAUCCAGGAAUUCUGAGACCCCAGCACAGCACUCUUGACCUUUUCAGGAGCCCUCCCUCACCCCUUGUGAUCACUGUCCUGUGAGCCUGGGGGUGCAUGAGCAAACACAGUGCUGUGUAGCUCUCUGAAGAGGGCAGGUUCAGGAGAUGGCAACCCCCAUAGGGUGACUACAUUGUUUCCAUUGCAUCCUGAGCAACAUGGUUGCAUAAUUAUUUUGGCAAAUUAUUUUGGGAAAACCGGUAUAUCCAGAGGCUCUCCUCCAUGUACAGAGCUGACACACUACAGAUAGAUUAUGGUUGG
rnacentral:lncRNA from 1 species